rnacentral:sRNA from 1 species
AUGGCAGAAAAUAGUCUAUUGAAAGAAAUCCUCGACUCCUUGAACGAUCCAGAAACCGUACAGUUCUUUGCAGCAGCUAAUGGUCUUACUGGUGAUGUCCAGGUGGAGGACCGGUUAAGAGAACUCAAAUGGGAAAAGCACAUCGACGAUUUAUGGCAGGAGGUUCUGUCUGAUAUGGAGUCUCCUCCUAAAAAAACGUGUCAUUCUCUCAAUGAUGGCAAUCAACCGUCUACAAGUAGGCAGGUUGGGGGCGGUGGGGAAAGUUCUGAUUCUAAGGACACAUUAGCAAAACCUUACUAUAUCUGGAAAAGAGAUACCAGAACCUUUAAGAAAAAUUGGGUCCGCGACACUACAUUCAAGGUUAAAUUUAACGAACAGUGGCGGGGUAAUAAAUUAAUAGAUAUACAAAACAAUUUGCAUGACAUGUUCGAGGACCUGUUGUCGCAGGCCAGGGGACACGAUGCGGAUCUUGGACGGGUCGUCAUCAGUCAUCCGAGUCUAAACAAUGCAAUAGUCGUCCCACUACAGGCUUGGAAAACCCUCAAUGCAGAUAUUGUGUUGUCCGAGAUUACCAAAGUACUUAAUUCAAACGAAAGUUUAUCAGUUGACGAAAAUCUUUUGGUCACCGUAGGUUCCAUUGAUUUGCCUAAAGGAGGAGGUAACCCUAGAAAACUACCCAUCACUUCUCUUUUCGGACCCAAAAAUAGCGUGGAAAGAAAAAAAUCACUUUUUCACGUACAAAAUGAUAACAAUUUGUGCCUGGCCAUUUCGAUUGGUCUGUGUUUUCUUAAAACGUGUAAAAAAGUAGACCCUGAUACCUGGUCACAAUUAGUGAGGGAUGAUUCCGAACAGAUGCUAGAUCAUGUUCUCAAACACCGCACUGUAUCCAAGACCUAUUAUGACAAUGUCCUGAAAACGUCGAGAAAAAAAAAGCAAACCGAGUUGGCGAUGUGGCUAUGUGAAAGAGCCGGAGUACCCACCGACAGGUAUUUAGGUCUCAAUGACAUCGAACCUUUCGAAACCUUACUCGACGUCUCCGUCAACGUCGUGUCUUCAAGAGUAGGAAAUAAAUUCGUGAGGGUGACGAAGGACCAGGGCAAACCUCGACUCUAUUUGUACCACGUGGACUCGGAAAACGAAAAACACUGGCACGGGAUUGCCAGCAUACAAGGGUUUUUUAAGGCGUCGUACUUUUGCCAUACCUGUUUAAAACCGUAUAAAGAUAAAUCGAAACAUUCUUGUGCCACCUCUUGUGAAGUAUGUUUACGCGACAACUGCCCGGAAACGGAUGUCCAAAUGGGUUGUCGUUCCUGUAGCCGGGUCUGUCGAUCACUUCUGUGUUUUAAAAGACAUAGAGAAAAACGGAAAGUAAAAAAACAAAGUUUUCCCCCUGCCUGCGAGCUGUUUUCCCAAUGUAAAAAAUGUAGAGUCGUUCUGGAAUGUGCCAAGCGCUCUCCAGAUUUACACGUUUGCGAAGAAUGGCAGUGUCCUAACUGUCGAGAAUAUCAAAAGGGGGAACAUAACUGUUAUCAAAAAUCAUUUGGAUCUGACAUGGAAAAGCGAAACAAGAAAUUUAUUUUUUACGAUUUUGAGACGCGCCAAGAUGACAUCUUUCAUUGUGAAACAGGAUACAGUCCGUCUCGCAUUAGAUGUCGACAGUGCGUUAAAGAGCCAAGUCAGUGCGUCAAUUGUAGAUUGUGUCAGAACUGUCGUGAUCCGUCUUGUGGUCUGCAACAACACAAAGUCAACUUUGCAGUACUACAGACUGCUUGUCACAAAUGCGAAAAAGAGGAAUUGGUGGAGGGCGCCACCUGUACUUAUUGCGGAACUCGAUGUGGAAAUUGUUCCCAGACCCAUAAAGGAGAAUACGUGAGACCCCCAUGUCCCGACACCUGUGGUAAAAGGGAACUAGUGUUUUCCGGGGACAACGCCGCCGAACAGUUUUGUUCUUACGUCACCAAACACAUUACCCAAGCAGACGGAACUGUCAAAGAAAAUAACAAGUUCGGAGUCGACCCUUUCGAUUACGUCACCAUUGCAAGUGUAUGUAUGGGGAUUUUCAAGUCUCUUUUCUUGAAGGGCAAGAACAAAAUACAAAUAACUAAAGACGGAGAAACUGAUUGUUAUGACAUCGAGUAUUUAAAGGGACUAGAAGUUGUCAAUAUCGAAGGAUCUUUGGUGUCUGUGAUCGACUUAAAAAAUGACGAAAAUGUGCAUGUAGGAAAACGAGAUUUCAAGAGUCCCAUAGCAGUAGUGCCUUCUCAAGGUUAUACGAAACGCGACAACUACAGUAAAAUUUCGAUUCAAUGGUUAGAAUGGUUAAUGGAAAAAAGUCGUCAGCGGGGAAAUCCGAUUAGGAUUUCACAUGCUCUGAACGGAGGUGAAUAUCAAAUUCCAGGCACCAAUUACAGAUGUGAUGGCUUUGUUCACAAUUCAUCUGGAAAAGGAACCAUUUACGAAUUUUAUGGUAAGACCGUUGUGUCUUCCACGGUUGUCCCUCUUGUUACCCGGAUGACCGACAUCAUCUCAAGCAUCCUUCCACCAAUCAGACGAUCCAGGAAUUAUAUGAAAUGA